GACGAACGCUGGCGGCGUGCUUAACACAUGCAAGUCGAACGGAGUUCCUUGGAUAGAGGCUUCGGCCAAUUGAAUUGGAACUUAGUGGCGGACUGGUGAGUAACGCGUGAGGAACCUGCCUUUCAGAGGGGGACAACAGUUGGAAACGACUGCUAAUACCGCAUGACACAUGAUCGGGGCAUCCCGGACAUGUCAAAGAUUUUAUCGCUGAAAGAUGGCCUCGCGUCUGAUUAGCUAGUUGGUGGGGUAACGGCCUACCAAGGCGACGAUCAGUAGCCGGACUGAGAGGUUGACCGGCCACAUUGGGACUGAGAUACGGCCCAGACUCCUACGGAGGCAGCAGUGGGGAAUAUUGGGCAAUGGCGAAAGCCUGACCCAGCGACGCCGCGUGAGGGAAGAAGGUCUUCGGAUUGUAAACCUAGUCAACAGGAAGAGUAGAAGACUGUACCUGGCGAAUAAGCCACGGCU
rnacentral:rRNA from 1 species